AACGCAUAUUGCGCUCUCUGGUAUUCCGGAGAGCAUGCUUGUUUGAGUAUCAGUAAACACCCCUCAGAACUUUUUGAUUUUCGAAUCAUUGAGCUCUGGAUUUGAGUGAUCCCAACGUGUUCUUUCGCAGAGCAUGGCGGGCCACUUGAAAUGCAGGUGCAGCUGGACUUUGUUCUGAGCUAAAAGCAUAUUUAUUUAGUCCUGUCAACACUUGUGUUGCGGAUUAUUACUUCUGCUGCAGCUAACAUAAAGGAAGAUUGUUCAAAUGCUGACUGAUGCAGGAAUUUGGCAAAAUAUCGUCUAGGCGAUUUUUUGUUAAACUCGAUCUCAAAUCAAGUAAGACUACCCGCUGAACUUAA
rnacentral:misc_RNA from 1 species